rnacentral:pre_miRNA from 1 species
CAAAUACUCCCUCCGUCCGGAAAUAAUUGUCAUCAAAAUGGAUAAAAGGAAAUGUAUCUAGACGUAUUCUAGUUUUAGAUAAAUCUCUUUUUAUCCAUUUUGAUCACAAGUAUUUUCGGAUGGAGGGAGUAGAAA